UGUGUUUUAAUAGACUAGUAUUUUGUAAAAUACAGUCAAAUUUAAAUUAAUAUACAUUAUAUAUUUAUUUUUCCUAAAACAUAGAACAGUAAAUAAAGAAGUAAAGCAAACAAUUAUCUCUUCUUGUUACGACCUUUGUACUCGGUUGUUGCUAGACGUAGGUUGCUAAGACUU